rnacentral:rRNA from 1 species
GAUGAACGCUGGCGGCGUGCUUAACACAUGCAAGUCGAACGAAGCACUUUAUUUGAUUUCCUUCGGGACUGAUUAUUUUGUGACUGAGUGGCGGACGGGUGAGUAACGCGUGGGUAACCUGCCUUGUACAGGGGGAUAACAGUUGGAAACGGCUGCUAAUACCGCAUAAGCGCACGUCAUCGCAUGAUGCAGUGUGAAAAACUCCGGUGGUAUAAGAUGGACCCGCGUUGGAUUAGCUAGUUGGUGAGGUAACGGCCCACCAAGGCGACGAUCCAUAGCCGACCUGAGAGCGUGACCGGCCACAUUGGGACUGAGACACGGCCCAAACUCCUACGGGAGGCAGCAGUGGGGAAUAUUGCACAAUGGGCGAAAGCCUGAUGCAGCGACGCCGCGUGAGCGAAGAAGUAUUUCGGUAUGUAAAGCUCUAUCAGCAGGGAAGAUAAUGACGGUACCUGACUAAGAAGCACCGGCUAAAUACGUG